ensembl:lncRNA
UGUCCCCAUACAAGCAUUCAGAAGAAAAGUUGUGUAGGCCUUAUAUUACAUCAUCAUCAGACUUUGUGAGUACAGCCAUGUCAAUUUAUAAAUAGUUAUAUAGACUUAUGUCAGACACUAUUAUGCAAUAUGAAUACUUAAUAAACAUUUACGAAUGUGUUUACAUUUUUUAUGGAUACACAGUAUCAAAUUUCAUAUCACUCCUUCUAGUCACAAUACAUCUUUUAAAACAAUGCCACAGAACUGUAGUUUCCAUAUUUGGGAGAGCUUUAAAACCAGAAAUUUACAGAGGACUUUUCAUUUAAUUUUCAAAUUGCAGUUAUGUUUUAAAAGACCAAAGCUCAUUUAGACUACACAACCACCUCUUUGUAACCUUGACGUAUAACCUAACUCCCAAAAUGCCACAUUUUAUUCCAUUCUCUCGACAGACAGUAACAAUGAGUUAUCUGAACCAUGAUGGUACAUCAUGUCAUCUUUGACUUAGAACACAGGGUCAAAUGAGCUACAGUGAAGCAACCUCCAUGGAUUGCAAGAGCUCAGAUUUUGCCCUGUGGUCUCUUGAUUGCAAAGGCUCUUGGGUUUUGACCAAGACACACAAAGCCACCAGUCGUCUGACAGGCUUGCCACUGUGCCAAGACUGUGCAGAAAUUCAUAUGAUGACACAAACAUCCAUCCCAGAUACAGAAGUGAAAAUGGAUCUCAAAAGGCCCAACAAUCUAUUGAUGAAAUGGAAAGAAAACCAAUCUUGAUUGAAACUACAGCAUGAUCCAAAUGCUGAUGGAUGUGGAAACAUUGCUCCCCACCAUCACUACUCCUCAUCUACGCAUAUUGACAGCCAAACUCUCCCCACUCACUCUGUCUCUUCUAUCUCCCCUAGUCUAGACUAUCUUCACUAUGGAACGCUGCUGAAACCCUCGGCCCACAUGCACCCAUCACCACCGUACUGCUGUACACUUACUCUACCCCAUACCCUGUUCUAGUAUUUAUAUGCGAUAUAUAUAUUAUAUUAUGA